GCAAAGUACCACAACUACGACGGGGGAGAAGAGAAAGACAACCGAAAGAGGUUUCAUCGAUUUGAGUCCAGGAGCAUUUUGUAUUUUUCACGUCGUUUUCUAAAGAAACAUCCCACCCCUAAGCUAAAUGCAGGCUUCAAAGGCAAGGACAGGUUUACCAAGAGCUGUGUAGGCAUCAGUUUAAUAGUUGCUGGCCUAAUUUAGGAUUCCCAGACGAAAUGCAGCAUGUGUCCAGCCCGAACUAAAAAGGUGGCAGGUCGUGGGAAGUUCAUUUACUGGAGACUUUUUUUUUUUUUUUUUCAGUUUACCAACAGCUCCAGUCCUACAGCCAAGAAGACUUGCCCUGCACAGUGAUCCUCCCUCCCCUAAAUUCUAGCAUACUCGCUCAGCCAAGCCACCCUCUAGGGGCUCUCCAGUCCUUCCAUUCAAUGGCUACUACUCAGUCUAACAGUUUGCUCCUGGAAAUGUCAUGUAAAUGUUUAGGAUUAUUGUCAAUUGAGAAAACCUCUAUCAAAUCUCUUUCACGUAAGAAUAAGAUUUCAGGGACUUCCCUGGUGGCACAGUGGUUAAGAAUCCGCCUCCUAAUUCAGGGGACACGGGUUUGAGCCAUGGUCCGGGAAGAUCCCGCAUGCCACAGAGCAACUAAGCCCAUGUGCCACAACUACUGAAGCCCGUGCACCACAACAAAGAGUAGCCCCUGCUGGCCGCAACUAGAGAAAGCCCACGCGCAGCAAUGAAGACCCAACGCAGCCAAAAAUAAAUAAAUUAAUUUUUUAAAAAAAGA